rnacentral:lncRNA from 1 species
CCCGCAGAUCGAAUGGGAGGAACAUUCCUCUUCUUAUAGGGCUGUUCUGAGGACUAGUCUGGAAGCAAAUACAGCACCUGAACAGCAAGCAGCAGUUCUGGAAGUUAAAAGUCCAAGAUCAAGAUGCCAGCAUGGUCAGUUUCUGCCAAUAUUUCAUUCAAAUCUCAAUCACAUCCAAAGACCCUGGAAAUAUUUGUAGGCUCGAAGCAUUGUGCCAGGAGUACCCAAUGGAUAAGACAACUUCAUCCCUCCAGCAGGACAACAGACCACAGGACCAGAUCUUCCAUGAGCGCAGAACUGGGAACUAGCAAAAGAUACUAGCCAGGGGGGACAAGAACAAGGGCGUGUGUAUGUGCGUACAUACAUAUGUGUGCGUUUGCUUCCAGUUAAUUUACCUCCUCUUUUUCUUUCUUUACUUCACUGUUACAUACAGCAUAUGUUUGUAGUGGCUACAUUUACCUUCUAAUCCACAGUGUGCAUCAUAUCCACAUGGUACUAUGACAGAACCAGAGGAAGCACAGGCUUUCCUCGACGUUCUGAACUUGGAGCCAGAUGCAUUUGUCAUGAGUUAUUGGGUGCUGAAUGAUGAGGAGGCUCAUCUUCAUUUGCAUAUGUAAUAGUGCUUCUUUAUUUCAGCAGUUCUGGAAUUGCUUGUACACAAAGCAGGAGGCCUGGUUGUUGGGCGGUCAAGGGUGGACUGCAAUGACUGCCUGUCGUGUUUGCUUGCCUGGCCUGGCCUUCAUUCUUCUGUCUUCUGAUACAGCAGCGCCAGUAUUGGUUGGGAACCUGCCCCCUCCUAUUGAAUAUAGUUUUGAAAAAACUCUAGGUGAAAAUGUUCCCCCUCUCCUGCCAAGGGCUGGGGAUAUGACAAGUUAGAUGGAGCAAACACUCUCUCUCUGAAAUUGGAAUUCUUAGCAGAAUUACACAAACGUUUCAAAUGGUGGAGCUGGGCUAUCCAGGUGGAAAAGCCUGAUGAAAUUGUCAUUUUGUUCCUCUUUCCUAGGUCCUUGUUCUUGUUCACCUUCCACUUUGAUCCUACGAACUACUUCAUAGCCUUCUAAUAAAUCUCAUUUUAGCUUAAAUUGGCCAGAGCCUUUGUUUCUGCUAGUUGAAGGCAUGGCAGCAGAAAGAAUCACCCAGGGAGGGUGUGUAGUGAAAAGAGAAAAGAAGACUGGAGGAAGGCGAGAGAGUGUGUGAGACGGAAGCCAGGGAAGAGAUGCUGACCAGUGGGAGACUCCGGGAGGCAGGGUCGGGCUUGUUGGAAGGUCAAGGACAGAUAAGUACCCAUUGGAUCUACUGAUGGUUUCAUUAUGGACUUUAAUGGGAGCCCUUCCGCCUACUUGGGGGGAAGUUUGAUUGCAGUGGGUUGAAGAGUAAGUAGAAGCGAGGGGUAGAGAGCGAGUACAGGCAACAUCUUAAUCAAGAUAGAAGUUGGGCUGCUUUCACAUGGAUGCCAGUGGCUCAGACAAGGUGGAAGAUUUAUUUCCGUCUCACAGGAAAACCCAGCACACAUUAGGUAGGUGACUCUGUUCCAUGACAUCAUCCUAUGACCCAGCUCCUUCUACAACUUGCUCUGCCAUCCCCAGUGUGUUGUCUACGUCCACCUGGUCAAAGCCAGCUCACACCCUUAUAUCCACAUUACGGUCUUCAGAAAGGGAAAGAGAAAGCCAAGGGCAGCCAGCUUCUUUAAGAGACACUUCCUGGGAGCUGCUCACACUACCCCCAGGGAAACCCAAGGCUGGAACUUGGUGGCAUGGACACAUCUGCUGGUGAGAGAGGCUGGCCACGUAGUCACCAGCCUGUGGCCAGUCAAACCCGGGUGGGGUAUUUCCAAAGGAAAAAGGGGAGUGACAAUGGGGAGCCAAUAGCAGUUGCUGCCACAGACACUGUGUCAAGCAGUUGGGCUGUGAAGGAAAGAGAUAGGGAAGCAGCUGGAGGAGCUGGGGUCCCAGGUCCACAGGUCAGCAGAGAGAGAUGUUGAAGAUACAAGAAUAAGAGACGGUAACAGAGGGAGAGCUUAGAGAAGGAGGGCGCCUGGGUCAGUGCACAGAUGGAGAACUUGGCCUCGGAUAGGACAAAGGAAAGGAGGAAAGAAUAGGAGAAAAUAAUAGGCUUGCGGGCUUAGUGGCUGCCAGUAGAGGGAGUCUGUAUUUUCUUCAUAAAAUAGGAAACCAAGUCUCCUGCUAAGACUGAGUGCGAAGGAGGGCGGCUUGGUGUCUGAAAGAGGAGACAGAAAUCUGCUUUGUUGGGAGGGCUGAUGAGGGGCGCAUGGUGGGAUCCCUGGGUCACUGGAUCCUCAUCUUGGUGGCUGGGAGAUUUCGGUCAGGGCUGCAAAGCAAACCUGGUAUGGUUUUCUAGAAAGAAGAUCGUUGGGAUCUCCAGUCAAAGUCCACGUGAGGAAGGAAAUGAGGAUGCUUUUAUGGGAGGGGUGACACAGUCAUUUCAAUGUGUCUCCAGGAACCCAGAACAGAAAAAACGCUUUGUUUAUGCAAUGAUAGGUCUGCGGAAGAGGAGUGGUGAAAAGCCACACUUCCAUAAAGUCAAACUUCCAUUUUUUAUUAUUCACACCGUUUAAACGAACUCAAGCAUUUUUCCUAAUGACAGACAUCAUUCAUUAAUGCGUGACGAAAAGAGAGAUUCUUUAUUACGUUCAGAAAGACGUGGAGAGAGGCCAGCGAGCACCCGGCCGGGGCGGCGGGGGAGGCCGGCUGGCUGCCCGCUGCGGGGGUGGCCCAGGAAGCGGCCAUCGCCAGCCCGGGUCAUCAGUAAUUGGGAGAGUUUUAUGGUCCGUAAUGAUUUUCUGUAAAUGAAAAUUACUCCUCCUCGCUGGGCAAUUUAGUUAUAUCUGCGUUAAUCCAGGAAAGGCUUAUUCAUAUGAACUAUGACACGUAUGAGUCAGUGCCAGAGACUUAAAGAGGCACCGUCAUGCUUUCAGUUCUAGCACGGUCGCCUCCAGGGCUGUUUUGAGGUUGAUUGUGCUGUUUUGACCACGUCCCCAUGAAGCUAAUGGGGUAACGGGUGGCAGCACGGGGUGGGGCGGGGGCCUUUCCAAAGCUUUUCUGCUCCCGGCUGUAACCGAGUUCAUCGGCUCCGUGUCCAGCGCAGCCAAAGGCUUUCAUUUUCCCUUACGAACAUCUCGUUUACUCAUUCUGUUUCCAUGAGGAACCAAGUUCUGGAGAAGUGAUUAUUACAAUAAUAAUAAUAACAACAACAACAACAACGAUGACCUUUUUCCUGAAAGUGAUGUCCGCAGUUAGGUCUCCUGUAAUUUUCCACAGGGAGACUAGUGAGGGAGAAGAAAAUCUUUCACCUGCUUUUAAAUGUAACUUGGGAUCUACAUGUGUUCCGGAAUUUAAGCCCGUAUUUUGUAGCAUGUGAGUUUUUCCCUGAAAGGCUCAGAACAGCGAAAACAAAAAAAAACAAAAGACUUAUCUUUUGAAACAUAGUAGAAUAUAAGUCGUUCAAGUUUAAGCCAACUGAGAGAAUGAUUCUCCGAUUGUCUCAGGGGCAGCAGAGGCUCCUGGGCGCCCCUAUGCGGGCAGCCCCGGGACACUUACACAAGCCAUUCAGUGCCAGCCCUGCCUCCUCCCUUCUUCUCAGCUGGGCCGUUUGUGAUGACAAAGGCACCUUGCAUUUGUACAGGAACUUAGCACUGUGGGAUAUCUGUGUCAGGGAAAAAAUAACUUUCGCUAUUUUAUUAAGGAUGAAAUGAGCCCCCCAGCCGUUUACUUCUUAGGAAGAAUUAAGCAGAUUGCAUCAAGUCUCUGAGUAGAGAAUGGAAACUGUGUGUCAGUGGAGUGUGGAGUAAGCUGUUUGCCGGACAUUAUUUAUUUCACCGCCUGCAUUAACAGUGCAAAUGAGUCAUAAAAACCAUAGAGAUAUGUGUAGAUUUUUAAACAUUAACCUAGAAUUUGAAAGUUAGAAUAACCAUCUACUCAGGAUAAACUUGUAGAGUCAGAGGUUGUAUUUUCAAUGUAUAUAAAUGUCACUGAGUCCUCUGUUAGGUGGGUCCCUACAUGUUGUUAAAAGGAUAGACUAGUUUAGAAGGAAAUAAGCAUGCCGAGAGAAGCGAUGAUAACUUCGCUCCCAUGUUUCAAGACAAGUUCACUGUCCAGACAGAUUUCAAUCCUUCCAUUGUAUCCUUCCUUUAUUUUGUGUAGUCGCGUCUUUGCUGGCGGCCUGAAUUUCUUACCCUGGACACACACACACAGAAGGGAGGGCUACAAGAACAAAGAAAACUUAGUUCAAUGUGACACACUCCCUGAUCACAACGACAUUCUAAGUCCCCUAUACCCAUUAUGAUGAUAAUUUCUUUCAAAACAGGGAUUCGCAAUUUUCACUAGAUCCACGAUUUUCGAGAUUUGCGUCAAAAUGUGUUUUUAAAAGUAUCUACUUGCAUCCGACACUUCUGGCCUCCGCAUCAAAUCCUCUCCACCUCCCCUAUUACCCCAGUCACCUGAGAGCAAACUCCUAACGGCUUUGCCCUGGGCAGGGAUGGGUGGGGCACACCUGCUUCAAGCCUUGUGGGGUGUCUCUGUAGCAGGUGAUGCAGGGGGACGAAUCAGUCAGCCUUGACUCCUGCCCUGCCCGGAGGCGUGGGGAGAUAGAGCCGGGGUCUACCCUUGACCAAUGGUACACAGUAGCUGGUGGAUACAUUCUUCCUCUGUCUUUCCUGAGGAGGAUAGUUCUGAAACUGGCUUCAUAAGGCUCCUCAGAGUUGCCUCCAAAUGGAACCACUUGGCCAACUCCACAAUGCAUCCUUGAAUUGGCUUUCCUUUCCUUUGUGUCUGCCACUCCAACCCUCCCCUCUGCUCCUGGGUUUACACUCCCAGCUAAACCACCUUCGCGCUAGCCUUUCCCAGGUUCUGCUUUUAGGGAACCCAGAUCAAGAAUAACUUGAGUUUAUUUCAAGAAAAAUCCCUCACUCAAUUAUUACUUCUAACAUUUUAAUUUCCUACCCAUAGGAAUUAAAUUUUAAUACUCCCUUACAGUUUUCUUGAUGAAGCUUCACUGUCUCAUAAUGACCCCUGCUGGAAUUGUGCUGGUAAUGGUUAAUAGCAUGUCUACCUAUGAACCAUCCCGGCAGGGUAGGGCAGUGGAAGGGAAAUGGACUUUGAGUUUCCAGUCCAAUCCCACUUCUUACGAAAUGUGUGAACUUGAGCGAGUUACUUAACAUCUCUGAGCCUCAUUUGUAAAAUGACCUUAAUACAAUAAGACUAGAAAUGAAUGACAAAUAAAAAAUGAAAAGACCUUUUACCUGGAAAUUUAAAAGCUUCUAAUAACUCAAAUCAAUGAAAUUGCAGAAUGUCCUGAAAAUAGCAAUGAUGAAAACACAAUACGUCAAAAUAUCUGCGAUAGAAAGCUAAAAUUCAGAGGAAAAUUAUAGCAUUUAAUAUCUUUCUCAGUAAAAAUGGAAAGAUGAAAAUGAAUGAGUUAAACAGCCAACACAAAAUAGAAGACAGAGACAUGCAAGAGAAGACAAAAGUCUAUCUUUUGAAAAUUCAAAGGAAACUGACAACCGUCUAGAAAGAUUGCCAAUGCAAAAAGAGAUAAAGAAAAAAUAAACACUAAGAAUGAGAAAAAACCAAAACUGCAAAAUCAGCAGAAAUGUAAAAUAUAGUAAGAAUAUUAUAAAAACUUCGUGCCAAUGAAGAUGAGAACUGAGAUUAAAUGGGCAAAUUUCUAGAAAAAAUAUAAUGUUUCAAAACUGACUAGAGAAGAAAUAGAAAACUCAAUCCUCCCUAAAUUAAUUUAUAGCACAAUCUCAAUGAAAAUAUCAUGUUUGUUUCUAGAACUGGACAUGUUGAUUAUUAAGGUCAUUUAGAAGGAUAAACAAGCAAAGAAUAGCCAGGAAAAUACCCCUCCAAAAAGAAGUGUGGUGUUGGGGGCUGGCUAGCACGUCCAGGUACUAAAGCACAUUAUAAAGCCUCUAUAGUUAACACAGUGUGGUAUCAGUAUGUGCAUAUGCAGACGGACAAAUCAAACAGAAUAGAAAAGCCAGAAAUAGACCCAACCGAACAUGGAAAUUUAGAAUAGUUUAAGGUGACAUCUCAAAUCAGUGGAAAAAUUGAAUAUGUGAUAUUAAGAUACCUGAAAAGCAAAUGAAAAACUAUAUAAUUGAGCCCAUUCUUAUGCCAUACACUAGCAUAAUACUCCAAAUGGAUCACAGAUGUAGGUGUAAAAUGAAGAAAACAUGGGGAAAUUCUUUUAUGAUCCAGGAGUUAUAACUAAGAAACUUUCCUGACUAUGACUCAAACCCCAGAAGCAAUAAGGAAAGGACUGGCUAAUGUGUUUACAUAAAAAUAUAAAAUUUGCAUAGGCACAAGCACCAUUAACUAAGUAAAAACACAAACAACAAAAGAGGGAAGCCAUUUACAAUUUUUAUUGCAGACAAAAAGAUUAAUAUGUUAGGGUGAGCCAUCUGAAAUUGCUGGUAUUUGACCAUUUUUGACCUAACAAAAUAGCAAUUUCAUAUGGUUCAACUUAAUAAUUAAUAUAUAAAGAACUUCUAAAAAUAAGAUGGGCAAUAUCCCAAUAAAAAAAUGAGCUAGAGAUAUGAACACACAAUUCACAAAAUAAAAAUGCAGAUGGCUUUUAGCCACAUAAGAAGAUGUCCAGGCACGCUCAUAAGAAUCUAUCCCAAAGAUACAUCACAAAAAUGCCCAGGGGCCGGCCCCAUAGCUGAGUGGUUAAGUUCGCACGCUCCGCUUCAGUGGCCCAGGGUUUCGCCGGUUCAAAUCCUGAGCACGGACACGGCACCGCUCAUCAGGCCAUGCUGAGGCAGCGUCCCACAUGCCACGACUAAAAAAAUACACAACUAUGUACCAGGGGGCUGUGGGGAGAAAAAGGAAAAAUAAAAUCUUUAAAAAAAAAUUCCCAAAAGAUUCAUGCAAAGGCAAUUUGCUGUAGCACUGUGGGUAACAGCAACACUGGAAAGAACCUAAAUGUCUUGAUACUUGGUAGAGUACGUCCUCCAGCUGUUUUUUUCUGGGAUUGUUUCAGAUAUUCUUAGAUCUUUGCAUUUCUAUGUAAAUUUUUGAAUCUGUUUAUGAAUUCACACACACACACACACACACACAAUCCUGCUAAGAGUUGUGUUGGGACUACGUUAAAUCUGCAGAUCAACGUGGGCAGAACUGACAUCUUUACAAAACUGAAU